rnacentral:rRNA from 1 species
AUCGAACGCUGGCGGCAUGCCUAACACAUGCAAGUCGAGCGAGCGGAGGGCGGUUGAGUAAUGUCUGGGAAACUGUCUGUUGGCGGGGGAUCACUAGUGGAAACGGUAUGUAAUACCGCAUACCAUCAGCUGUGCCCAGUUGGGGUUAGCUAGUAGGUGGGGUAACGGCUCACAUUGGCGAGGAUCCCUAGCUGGUCUGAGAGGGUGACCAGCCACACUGGAACUGAGACACGGGCCAGACUCCUACGGGAGGCAGCAGUGGGGAAUAUUGGACAAGGGGCGCAAGUCUGAUGCAGCCACGCCGCGUGUGUGAAGAAGGUCGUCGGGUUGUAAAGCACUUUCGGUGGGGAAGCGUUACCCGCAGAAAAAGCACCGGCUAACUCCGUGCCAGCAGCCGCGGUAAUUC